rnacentral:rRNA from 1 species
AUUGAACGCUGGCGGCAUGCCUUACACAUGCAAGUCGAACGGUAACAGGUCUUCGGAUGCUGACGAGUGGCGAACGGGUGAGUAAUACAUCGGAACGUGCCUAGUAGUGGGGGAUAACUACUCGAAAGCGUGGCUAAUACCGCAUGAGAUCUACGGAUGAAAGCAGGGGAUCGCUAGACCUUGGGCUACUAGAGCGGCCGAUGGCAGAUUAGGUAGUUGGUGGGAUAAAAGCUUACCAAGCCGACGAUCUGUAGCUGGUCUGAGAGGACGAUCAGCCACACUGGGACUGAGACACGGCCCAGACUCCUACGGGAGGCAGCAGUGGGGAAUUUUGGACAAUGGGCGCAAGCCUGAUCCAGCAAUGCCGCGUGCAGGAUGAAGGCCUUCGGGUUGUAAACUGCUUUUGUACGGAACGAAAAGCCCUGGGUUAAUACCCUGGGGUCAUGACGGUACCGUAAGAAUAAGCACCGGCUAACUACGUGCCAGCAGCCGCAGUAAAAC